AGGACGAACGCUGGCGGUGUGCUUCACACAUGCAAGUCGAACGGGGUAGCAAUACCCAGUGGCGGACGGGUGAGUAACGCGUGGGAAUCUGCCUAAAAAUGGGGGAUAGCUGGCCGAAAGGCUAAUUAAUACCGCAUAGGCCUAUAAUUCGACAGUUUUAUAGGUUAAAGGAGUAAUCCGUUUUUAGAUGAGCCCGCGUCCGAUUAGCUAGUUGGUAGGGUAAAGGCCUACCAAGGCUACGAUCGGUAGGUGGCCCGAGAGGGCGAUCACCCACAAUGGAACUGAGACACGGUCCAUACUCCUACGGGAGGCAGCAGUGGGGAAUUUUACGCAAUGGGCGAAAGCCUGACGUAGCGACACCGCGUGAACGAAGAAGCCUUUUGGGGUGUAAAGUUCUGUCGGCUGGGAAGAAAAAAUGACGGUACCAGCAAAGGAAGCAUCGGCUAACUACGUGCCAGCAGCCGC
rnacentral:rRNA from 1 species